GUAGCGUGAACUGGCCGCUGGGUGGCAGCACUGACCAGCAGCGUCACUGGGCUCCUUGCAAUGCCUCCUGGGAGCUGGGCUCAUCAUCCAGAUGAGAGGAGGAGCAGCAACAGUUGUCCUGCUUCACUGGUUUCUGUUCUAUUUACAGUGAAGAAGUUAAAAUGAAAAUGAAAAUCAAAUAAUCCAGAUGAGAGGAGGAGCAGCAACAGUUGUCCUGCUUCACUGGUUUCUGUUAUAUUUCCAGGUGAGUUACUAACUUUUUAUCUGACUACAGAUGUCUGUAAACUAAUAUGAAUCCCCUGUGAUAUGUGGUUCGGGAGCUAAAAGUGCGUUAAGUGUGUAAAUAUUUAAGUGUCAUGGUACGUGACGGUCGUAGAAAACAGGAACAUUUUUAUUUUUGGUCUGAUACGAAUUUUGAUGAGUUUAUCUUCUUGGAAAUCUGUUAAAAUAGACAUUCACAGGGGUCCAGACUAACUUUUUGCAUUGGUUGCAAUGAAACCCCAACAUUUGGGUGCACCUUAAACUUUGUGCUGGUGCACCUAAAAAAAAAAUUUUGGCACACCAGCACAAAUUUUAGGUGCACCCACAUUUUUAAUUGCGUCGCCUUAAACACCAUAAGGUCACUUUUUAUCACUCCAUAACUUUCAUAUAAUGUGAAUGAUUUUUAAACAAGAACAAGGUGUAGAGAAAUGCUUGGCUGCGGUCGAAUAGUCAAAUUUGCUUAGGAACCUUCCUAACUGAGUGAAAUGACCCGGAAGUAUUAUCGUAGCCGCCAUGAUAAGAGCUGUUCGAAUUCUCUAACUGUUAAGGAAAGGAGCUUCAAUGCUUCCUUUAGUAUCUCCUUUAGCAUAGGAUACACCGGACCAUCCUUUACGAAAGGAAAGGAGGUAAUGGCGUCCCACAAUUCCUUGCGGUAGCAGCAUAUAAGGCCGACCGGUCAUGAGAAGAAACGAACAAAAUGACUGACAAAUCCCGCAGAUCGUCGUGUAAGUUACUGAUGUGUUUUCAUCUUAAUUUAAUUAUAUGUUUAAUGUAUGAAUAUGAUGUUAUAAGAACUUGUCAUAAAUUUGUUGCAUCAGUUUGCAUUAGUUAUUUCCUCCUUUUGAACGUUAUGUGUCUCUGCCUUUACGAAUAUAAUUCAUUGAAAUAAUUGAACUUUAGUCACAGAUGCUGAAACCCUUGCCUUAAUAAAGGCAAGGGUUAAACUGGAGCAGCUCUUCAGUGGGAAGAGGAAUGCAGCGAAAUCAGGCUGGGAGUGGUGGCUGCGGCACAGGAUCCUCUUCUACAGCUGGCUCCAGGAUGUCCCCAGCUGUGACGCAAAUGUUGUGGAUAGAUGGACUGGAUUCCAUUAAGUGUAAUUGUGUUGGGCCCUUGUCACAUUAAACACAUUAGAUGUUUGCCACCUGUAUCAGCCAGAACAACUUCAAAGCACAAUCAAGUGCCAUUUCAUGGUGUUUAGUGAUAUGUAUGGUGGUUCGCAAAUGAAAGCAUACUUAUUUACAGACAUACUUGCAUAUACAUAUUGUAAUCCAGUUCUGUCAUAUUCUGUGUAGUCUAAAUUGUACACACUGGACCGUAAUACUAUUAUAUUCAUAGGCCAUCUUAUAAUUGGAUCAAAAUGAGGAAGUUAAUCUCAACAAUAUGGUUGACUUUUCCGGUUCAAUACGUUGAAAAUGAAGAAUAAUGACAUAGGAUCUCAAUUCAUCCAAUUUUAUUUUUAUUUUUUUUAAUUCUUAGCAAUUUUAUAGAUUGUGUAUAUGUGAAUAAGAUCUGACACAUAAUAAAGGUAUGCUUUCAAAGCAUAAUAACAUG